UACGGAGGGUGCAAGCGUUAUCCGGAUUUACUGGGUUUAAAGGGUGCGUAGGCGGGUUGUUAAGUCAGUGGUGAAGGAUUCGAGCUCAACUCGGAAACUGCCAUUGAUACUGAUGACCUUGAAUACAGUUGAGGUAGGCGGAAUAUUACAUGUAGCGGUGAAAUGCUUAGAUAUGUAAUAGAACACCGAUUGCGAAGGCAGCUUGCUAAACUGUUAUUGACGCUGAGGCACGAAAGCGUGGGGAUCAAACAGG
rnacentral:rRNA from 1 species